AACGAACGCUGGCGGCAUGCCUAACACAUGCAAGUCGAACGAGACCUUCGGGUCUAGUGGCGCACGGGUGCGUAACGCGUGGGAACCUGCCCUUAGGUUCGGAAUAACUCCCCGAAAGGGGUGCUAAUACCGGAUAAUGUCUUCGGACCAAAGAUUUAUCGCCUUUGGAUGGGCCCGCGUUGGAUUAGCUAGUUGGUAGGGUAAAAGCCUACCAAGGCGACGAUCCAUAGCUGGUCUGAGAGGAUGAUCAGCCACACUGGGACUGAGACACGGCCCAGACUCCUACGGGAGGCAGCAGUGGGUAAUAUUGGACAAUGGGCGAAAGCCUGAUCCAGCAAUGCCGCGUGAGUGAUGAAGGCCUUAGGGUUGUAAAGCUCUUUUACCCGUGAUGAUAAUGACAGUACCGAGAGAAUAAGCUCCGGCUAACUCCGUG
rnacentral:rRNA from 1 species